CAGAAGAUGGGCUAUAAAUCAAAUACAAACGAUGAAAAUAGGUCAUAGCAUCAUAAUGUAUCAUCCUGCCUGAAAUCUGACACUUUUACCAUUGAGUUAUGCUUUAGUUGAAAGUAAAGAAUAUACAGAGGAGCCUGCAACAAAAGUAAAGUUCCGAACGUCAUUAAUCAUUCUAGGCUGCUCCACCUCAAUGUCAUUAACUGGAACUGGUCAGUUUCUCAAACAUCCUUUUAGUGCAAAUUAAGGAGCUUGCUGCUUGAACUUUGAAAUGAUUCCAUUCAAUUUGGGAUUGUAGCUGCUGAUUGAAAAAAUUAUCUUCUGCAAAUAUUAAAUUUAUUGCAAUAAUGUCAGGAUACAGGGAGAGAGUUUUUGCAAUCAUUGGUGUCAAGGUGUAUGCUGCUGGGCUAUAUGUGAAUCAGUCAAUUUCACUAGGAUAAAACUGUUUGCAUUUAUCAAAUCUGAUUGAACAAGGAAAGAGAGGAGAGGGAAAAGUAAAUUAAGAAGCUAAUAUUGAUUGGAAACUGCAGCUCCUUUGGAAAAAUCUCUGCAAAUUGUUCUGGUGAGAGAUGUGGAUGGUAAAACGUUUUGGGAUGCCUUAGAUGAAGCCAUCUCUCCAAGAAUUAAAUCGCCUGCUCCAGUUGAUACCGCUGCUCUUUCUACAUUUAGUACUCUGUUUCAAGGAAGGCCUCUUAAUAAGGGUACCAUUAUCUUCUUGACUUGGCCGGACUCUACCAAAAUGCUUGUUUCUGUAUCGAGUGAUGGGUUGCCUUCUGGUGUUGAUGCAACUACUGAGUCAACAAAUGUGAUAUUAGCUCUUUUUGAUGUAUUUCUGGGAAGUGAUUCAGUUUCUCCUACUCUUAAGGCUUCAGUGACCAGUGGAUUGACAGCAUUGCUGAAUGGCUGAAGUAAAGAAAACAAGAGAGAUUUUCUGCUCAGUUGUUUUAAUUCCUGACACUCAAUGUUCAUCAUAGCUUUCUACAUGAAUGAAAUGCUCUAAAUCUUGUUUUGU